AUGCCCAAGGCAGGAGACUGUAGCGGCGGCGGCGGCGGUGGCCGGAGGGACCUGCCUCUGCUUUUCCUCAGGGUGGGCGCUGCCAUCACGCUCUCCAUCGCUGGGCUCUUCUUCUCGCGGCUGCGGUGGCAGCGCCGGCCUCGGCCCCGGCACCUCCUGCUCCCUCCUCCUUCAGAGCCAGAUGAUGCCCGUGGCAUGAAGGGUGGUGGUGGAGGGCUCAAGGAUGAGCUAAGGAUCCUCAAGAAUGAGGACACCAAGGCGAAAAUAAUCAGUGGGAACUCUGUGCACACAACCACUACCACUACAACGACCACCACCACUGCCUCGAUGUCACUUCCCCCGAAAUGCCGAAACAUUGAUGAUGAUGAUGAUGAUGAAGGAUUUCUCCUUCCAGAAUUCAAUGAAAUGGUUAUGGAAGAAUUUGGCAGAGACAUAGGCAAUAUCGCAAGCUCACCUGCAGCGAGAGUAAGGGAAGAUGCAUCUAAUGAGCAUGAAAUUUUCAAGCUCAGAGAUUUGGUUAGAUCUCUGCAAGAAAGGGAAAAGACCCUGGAGAUACAACUUUUGGAGUUGUAUGGUUUGCAGGAGCAAGGUGCUGCAGUUAGGGAGCUUGAGAACCAACUGAAGAUAAGCAAUGUCGAGUCACAGCUAUACUCCUUGAAGAUCGAAUCCUUGCAAUCUGAAAAUCAGAGGUUACAAACACAGUUGUCUGAAAGCUCAAAGUUAACUUCGCAGCUUGAGAUGACAAAAUCAAAAUGCAAGCUGUUGAAAAAGAAGUUGAGACUGGAUGCGGAACAAGCAAAGGAGAAAAUCACUUCCCUUCAGAACAUAGUUGAUUCUUUUCAGUGCAAGGAGAUUAUUGAGGGAGAAGUUGAUGGUGAGGCUGAGAAGAAAUUAAAGAGGCUAGAGGAAUUGGAAAAUGAGGCAAGAGAGCUUAGAGCUGCAAAUUCAAGGCUGCAGCAGGAGAAUUCACACCUUAGUAGGCGAUUGGAGCUCACACGCCUACCGCCUGUACCCAAGUCCCACAAUAGCAUGGAGGUAAAAACAUCAGAACAAGUUGAUGGGUUGAAGCAAGAAAACGAGAAGUUGUCAAAAGAGGUUGAACAACUGCGGACUGACAGGUUUGCAGAUGUUGAGGAGCUGGUAUAUCUUAAAUGGAUCAAUGCUUGCCUGCGGCAUGAGCUGAAGAACAAGGGGACUCCUGGUCCUGGGGCACAAACUACAGCACAGGAUCUAAGCAACACCCUAAGCCCCAAAUCUGAACAGACAGCCAAGCAAUUGAUAAUGGAGUAUGCCAAUGUUGGUGCGGACGAGAGAAGUUUAAGCUCCAUAGAAUUUGGCUCAGAGUACGCUUCUUCAAGGGCAUCAUCAAGUGGCGAACCCGAUGACACAUCGACCGACAUGUCAUCAAUCACAACGCCCAGAAACCCGAAGAAGAAAGAGAAGAAGAAGUUUUUCUCUAAGCUACGGAAAUUGGUACUGGGAAAAGAUAAGGAAAAGAACAAUUUCCCUACUUUGGAGAGGAGAGUGUCUAUUUCGAGCUGUUCCUUUGAUGACUUCACUGGAAGAGAGUCGCAUGAUAGCUAUUCUUCCUUCUUGACAGAAGGAGCCAAUCAGCAACAUGACGAUCGCAGCUGCGGUACGCCUUCUUUUGGCAGCCAAAGAUAUAGCACAGCUGAAGCAGGAGAUGGAAGAUACCAGCGUCAUGGGGUAAAACAGAAUGCAUCUUUCGGAUCCGGAAGAUUCAGUGAACAUGGUUCUCAGUUUGAUAGCGGUGAGGCCACAAUACCAGAAGACGUCGAGAUCCACAAAUUCGCCGAGGCACUGAUUACAUCAAGGACAGGUUCUAUGUCAUCCAGAAGGACCUUAUCCUUCAGCUAA
rnacentral:rRNA from 1 species